GGAAAUGACCCCUGCUUUCUUCCUACCAAGUAUCCCUAAAUAAGCCCUGGCAGACUGUCUGAAUACUGCCUUGCCAUUUAUAUUGCUUUAUGGCUAGACCAUUGAAUAAAGCGUACAUUAAUCAUGAUGAUGAUUGGCACCUUGACUGGCUCAGGAACCAACCAAGAGAUGCACUUCUGGAUGUGUCUGUGAGGGUGUUUCUAAGAAGAAUAACUCAGUGUGUGUGGGGGGAGAGCUUCCCAUCGAAGAUGCAGUCCCUUUCAAAGGUGGUUCAGAUAUGAGGAGGUCUGAAGGAAGUGUUGCCUGCCUGCUUGCCCAUUGCCCAUCAGUUCAACCAUGUGGGUCACAUGGGGUUGCUACAGAGUGAAAAGGAGGCAUCUCCUACUGACCCCUGUGCUGUGCACUUGAUGCUCAGCUUUGUGGGACUAUCUUGGGAGGUUCUGGAAACUUCAGACGGUGAGACCUAGUUGGAGGAAGUAGGUAACUGGAAGCGGGCCCUGAAUGGCACUUUGUCCCUGGUCCUGGUCCUUUUCUGUCUGCCUCUUCUUGUGUGUCACAAGUGGAAAACCUCCUCACUAUGAAGUUCUGGGACCAAGCAACUGUGGGCUGAAACCUCUGAAUUCUUGACCUAAAAUAAAACUGUAUCCUCUUGUUCCUAUCAGAUAUUUUGU
rnacentral:lncRNA from 1 species